rnacentral:rRNA from 1 species
CAGCCGCCACGGUAAUACGAGGGGGGCAAGCGUUGUUCGGAAUUAUUGGGCGUAAAGGGUGCGUAGGCGGUUUGACAAGUCUUAUGUGAAAUCUAUGGGAUCAACCCAGAGUCUGCAUGGGAAACUGUCGGGCUUGAGUAUGGGAGAGGUGAGUGGAAUUUCCGGUGUAGCGGUGAAAUGCGUAGAUAUCGGAAGGAACACCUGUGGCGAAAGCGGCUCACUGGACCAUAACUGACGCUGAGGCACGAAAGCUAGGGGAGCAAACAGGAUUAGAUACCCGAGUAGUCCCUGUCUCUUAUAA